rnacentral:piRNA from 1 species
AUCGUGGUAGAGAUUUGUGAAAGU